AAUCAACGCUGGCGGCGUGCCUAACACAUGCAAGUCGAACGAGAAAGUGGAGCAAUCCAUGAGUAAAGUGGCGACCGGGUGAGUAACACGUGACUAACCUACCUCCGAGUGGGGAAUAACUCCGGGAAACCGGGGCUAAUACCGCAUAACAUCGCAAGAUCAAAGCAGCAAUGCGCUUGGAGAGGGGGUCGCGGCUGAUUAGCUAGUUGGUGAGGUAACGGCCCACCAAGGCGAAGAUCGGUAUCCGGCCUGAGAGGGCGCACGGACACACUGGAACUGAAACACGGUCCAGACUCCUACGGGAGGCAGCAGUGGGGAAUUUUGCGCAAUGGGGGAAACCCUGACGCAGCAACGCCGCGUGGAGGAUGAAGCCCUUUGGGGCGUAAACUCCUUUCGACCGGGAAGAUAAUGACGGUACCGGUGGAAGAAGCACCGGCUAACUCUGUGCCAGCCGCCGCGGUAAUAC
rnacentral:rRNA from 1 species